UACGGAGGAUGCAAGCGUUAUCCGAAAUGAUUGGGCGUAAAGCGUCCGCAGGUGGCUGUGUAAGUCUGCUGUCAAAGAGCAAAGCUCAACUUUGUAAAGGCAGUGGAAACUACACGGCUAGAGUGCGUUCGGGGCAGAGGGAAUUCCUGGUGUAGCGGUGAAAUGCGUAGAGAUCAGGAAGAACACCGGUGGCGAAGGCGCUCUGCUAGGCCGCAACUGACACUGAGGGACGAAAGCUAGGGGAGCGAAUGGG
rnacentral:rRNA from 1 species